UCCCAGUUGCCACCUGGAAUUCUGACCAAUUGGCUGUAAAUUGGGGUUUCCAGAACCCCCUUCUCAGGUUUGGUAAUCUUCUAGAGUGGCUGAUGGAAAUGAGGAAGACAGCUUACUAACUAGAAUACCAGUUUAUUAUAAAAGGAUAUAACUCAGGAAUAGCCAGGUGGAAGAGAUGCAUGGAGCAAGGUAUGGGGCAACAGCCAAGCCCUCUGCGGGUGCACCACCCUCUCAGCCCCUCCACAUGUUCACCAACCCAGAGGCUCCCCAAACUCCUUCAGGGUCAGAAAGCCAGCACCUUUUCAUUGACCUCUGAUUUCUCUUCUGGACAAAGGUGACCAUGAAGCAUCACCACCAGCAAACCAGCCAGCUGGGACACAGUCCCCCCAAUUCUCUCUGAGACUCACAGAGAGAGAGAGAGAGAGAGAGAGAGAGAGGCAGAGACACAGGCAGAGAGAGAAGCAGGCUCCAUGCACCGGGAGCCCGACGGGGGAUUCAAUCCCGGGUCUCCAGGAUCGCGCCCUGGGCCAAAGGCAGGCGCCAAACCGCUGCGGCACCCAGGGAUCCCUAACCUUGAUCUUGUGUAACGUCUUUCAGCUGCCUUUCCUGGCAAAAAGAACCUCAACUGUGCAUAACCAAACCAGCUCAGAAUUACAACAGCAUUCUCAAAAAGAGAAGACUUCUGCUUUGCUUCACCAUUGUGAAUUUUGAAAACCCCAAGAGAUCUGUUUUGGCCAGAAUUUGAAGAGCUUACAAUGUCACUAUUUUGAAUUUGUGAUUUGAAGGAAGAAAGGAUUACACACUGUGCUUUAUUCAAAAACAUUUUGAACACACACACACACACACACACACACACACACAAAGACCUAUAAACACAGCUGUGCAUUAAAGGUGUAGUUUUCAUUGGACUCACUCUUUAAGACGGGUAUUCUGGGUGUGCUGGAUUGGAAGGGAGAGGAAGUCGUUCUGGGCUUUCCCAGUGCUCUGGGGGCUCACUCCCACCCCAGCAGGUGUCUUGGGAUUCUGGCUCCGGUAUCCCCCAGGGUCUAAGUCAAACUAGAGAGUGGGGUUCUCAUCAUCUAACCGUCUGCCAGGUAACUCUCGAACAAAACCCAGAGUAGCCUCUAAGAUGACGAUGAAGUGUAGAAGAGGCAUAUGGGGCAUAUUCAUUUUCUUUCUACACAAAUGACUGCUGUUGUGCCCAAGAUUGCGAAUCCGAGAAACCACCAAGGAGCCGACACCAAUGCAAGUA